CUGACUGUAGGCCAAGAGGGUACAAAUUUGCUUGAAUGAUGUUGAUGAUGCUGUGCCUACCUAUGGAAAACCUAUGAUUUUAAGGCUGGAAGAAGUUUAAGGACGAUGAUGGAAUGAGGGAGGCAUUCCACAGGAGGUGAUGGAAGAGGUAUCACUUCCUCUUCUGAUCAUAAAAAGGAUUGCUUCCUGUUCCUCUCUUGGGUGAACUGAUGGAUGAGUAUACAGGUAUGUGGCUCUUUCUUUAGAGGAGAUACCUGGUUGGUGAUAAGGCAGUGAUAACUGCAAACUCAAGGAGAUUCAGAGAAGAAAGCAUGGGCGUGUUUAAACCAGCAUUUAAUUUUAAGCAUACCUGAUUACUGAAAAGAGUCAAGUGCCUAGCACGGGGCUGAAAAGCAGGAUCAUUAAUAGAAGCUCAGAUAAGGAAAUAAAAAUGACUGUUAGAAGAAUAUGCAUAGCCAAAUCAAGGCAUCAACAGUGAAUGCUUCUGGGAUCUGAACAAUAACAGAAGAGCAGCAGUUCUGAAAGCCCAUGAAUACUAAUGGCGUUGCUGUGAAAGCCCCAGCAUCACUUUUGCAUCCCCAGUCUGCUUGUGCUGCUCAGUAGAAAAUUAUUUUCUCUGCUUUUGAGAGUACUGCUUCAGUGUUUUGCUCUUCUCUGUGCCUUGUGGAAAUUCAAAAAUCUACUUAAGUGAUUUUCUGUUUAUUUGGAUUUUAGUUCUUAAAUUUUACCGAUAGCUAAAAUGCUUCAGAACUACUUUGCUUCUCUUCUCCUUGAGUCUAAUUUUCUUUGAAUGAAGAAAAAAUGAUGCUAAGAUGUCAUUUAUUAACUGAUUAAAAAUGUAGUACGGUGGACAAUACUGCAGGGCAGUUUCUUUGACGCAUUAGGUUACUUCACCAAGAGACUUGAGCAAUCUGGUCAGAUGCUGGUUUGGACUAAGCUGCUCAAUUUUCUUGUAUUUAGGGGCUAGUAAUAAAGACACAAAAUUCAGCUUCAAUUGUACUAUUAUGAAAUACUUGUUGUCAGUUCCUCUCUUAGGCAGUAUCCUAGCUUCUUGUGGAAGCAGUGAGUGAGCAAUGAGCAUUUGGCUGUUACAAUCUGAACUGUGUGUUUGGCUAGGUUUUUGAAUGGACAUGUAAUAUUUUGCUAUUUACUUAGUACUAUAGCUGCUCAGGCUUCACUUUUCCAAGGAAAUAAAGUGAAGGUAAAAAAAAAUUACAUCUUAUAAACCAGCAGGAGCAGAAGUCUGGGUUUCACAGAAUGGUCUCCAGUAGUGGAAGAUAAAUGUUCUGAUAAUGGCAGUAUACUUUGUGUGUAUAACCAGCAAAUUCAAAUAACGCUUCAGAGCAAAUAUCAAGCCAUGCAAUAUGUCUCUUGGAAUAGAUGUUAAUUUGAAUCCUGAAUGAUGUAUCACUCUAAUAAAGUCAAAGUCAGAAGGAGCUGAAUACAGGAUGUUCUUCACCUGCUGCUGGGCCUGUCGCGCGUUUUGGAGAUGAAGUAGUGGAUUACAGUCGCACAACUAAUGAAAGGUCUUAACAAAUAAGAGGAUGUGCUAAAGGGACAGAGCAGUAGGUCUUGGUUCAGUCAGGAACUGACUGUUCCCAAAGUACCCUUUUUUUUAAAUCUUCCUGCUAAUGAUUAAUAUGUAUUUGAGAUUGUUGAUCAGAGCAAUUGUUCCCAAAUGAUUGUCUUUGCUUUCAGUCUGUCUAGCCACUAGCAGUCUAAAGCUGAAGCUCUACAUUUUACUAAGAUAGUUUCACUUGUUUUGCUAGUCUCAGUAGGUGUCUUAAUUAAAGACAUGUCUUCUAAAAACUUGGGAGGACUGAAGCUGAAAAUCCCAGGGAGGGUUUUAGCACAGAGAAUGAAGAAGUGCUGGCAUUUGAAUAUUGAAACAUUUUGGCAGAAAUAAUAAAGUAUGUUCAUUACAUUUACUAGGAAGGAAAAGGCUGGAAUUCAACAAAUUCAGUGGAACAAUGGCAGAGAUUUAACAUUUGGGUAUAAGAACAUUUUAGAAAUAGAUGUACUGGGUGGUGAUUUUCCAUGUGGGACUGGAAGCAAAAUUAAAAUCGUGUCAAGAUGCAUGAAAUGAUAUUGCAUGCCAUUUUGGACUUGUGUUCCAUGAUGCACUGACAUUAUUUUGGCAGAAAGAAAAGUAGCACUUUCAUAAGUGAGUUCACACUCUCCUGCUAAUUCCAGCCAUAGAGCUACGACAACGUAACUGGUGAAGAAAGAUGAAUAUGAUGAAUUGGAUAGGGUGCAUGGAUUAAUAGGUGUCAGAGCAGAGAAAAAAUGUGCAAUGAGGAGAAAUGGGGCAUGGGAGGAGAAGGAAAACAGGUGUUUUGGCUUACUAGAAGGUUUAUGGAGUUUGGCACAGAGCAUGAUCUCGUGUUCACUGAAGUUGAUGGCAAAGUUCCCAUUAACUUUAAUCAUGCAGAAUCCAGACAUUUCCCAGGGUAUCCAGAAGAAAGUAAGAAUGAUUACAGGGGAGCAAAAUAAUCAUGGAAAGAUGGGAACUUGCAGAACAGCAGCACUGAAAAAGACAAGCUUGUCAGGAGUCAACCAACAGAACGUGGUGAUUUAUUAAUAAUUUUAUCCUGUAUUAUUGACCAAGUAAACACAACAUCAAACGAAGGCAGAACUGGUUUAGAGAAUUCCUCUUGUCAUCUGCAUCUGUAUAAACAAAUGUCUGAAUGUCAACUGCCAUAAAUUAGCAUGGCUUGGAGCACUAUUUCUCUUAAUGUUGAUUGACAGUGAUGAUCCAGAAAGACUGUGUUAUUCUGUGUAGAUGCUUCUAGCAAUGACGAACAUGAGACAGUAGUCACUCAUUCUUCCUCAAGGAAGACUUGCCAGACAGAAAAGAAGGCUUUAUGAAUGGUAGAGGAAGGUGGCAUUGUCUUUGUUGUUGUUAUUAUUAGUUGUUAUUAGCCUUAAGGAUAUGGAUGCUGUAGUUUUGGCUACAAUGGCUUUUGAGUUUUAUCAGAUAGUUAACACCAAACUACACUUUAUGCUUUAGCAUCUUAGAACUUGCCGUGUUAUGCAGUGGCUUGAGCCAGUUUGAGGAGCGAGGAAACCACGCAAUUAACUGGCAAAAAUACACAUAUUUCACAUGAAUAGUCACUGAUCCAGACAACAUAUUAAUUUGUCUAAUUAUCAUAAUUAUAAUGCUGUUAUUUCUCACUACCU